UGGAAGAGUGAGGUUACAGGUAGAAGAGAAUUUGAAGUACUCGGGGUCAACAGUUCAGAACAAUGGAGAUUGGAGAAGGAUGGAACGGGUGGAGGAACGUGUCAGGCGUGAUGUGAUAGAAGAGUUUCAGCUAAAAUGAAAGGAAAGCUAUACAAAACUGGUGAGAGCAGCCAUGUUGUUUGGUCUAGAGACAGGAAGCAGAACUGGAGGUAGCAGAGAUGAGGAUGCUGAGGUUCUCAUUGGGAGUGACCAGGAUGGAUAGGAUCAGGAAGGAGUAGAUCAGGGGGACAUUACAUGUUAGAGAUUAUGGGCCAGACUGAGAUGGUUGGGACAUGUCCAGAGGAGAGAGAGUCAAUAUAUUGGUAGAAGGCGUAGAGGAGGACCAAAGAGGAGCUUUAUGGAUGUAAUGGAGGACAUGAGGGUGGUUGGUGUGAGAGAGACAGAUGCAGAAGAUGGGGUUGGAUGGAGGAGAUUGGUUUGCUCCAAAUAGGCUGGAAUCCCACCAGUAGAUGAUCCAAAUGGUAGCGUAUCAUAAUGAAAUAGUGACUUCAAGUACUACAUACAGUGAAAAAAAUAAGUCAUUUUAAUUUUUCCAUAUCGCGCAUUGAUUGGACAAUAAAAUAAGUAAGGCAGCAGAUACAGGCACAUGUAACAGUUGUAACAUACAAUCAUAUUUUCAUCUGCAUACAUAUUCAAGUCAUUCCCAUUGCUCUGAUGACAUCCUAGCUGCGUAAAUAGGCAGACAAACGUGACGCGUCAUCACAAUCUUUGGCUUGAAGCAAAUAUUACAUUGGCAUAUUUUUUAUUUUUCCAGUGCAAAACCAGAGAUGUUCUUAAACAGAUGAUUCAUGCUCCACGUAAGUCGUGGCAGGAACUAAACGCUCAUGUGUUGCUUUGUCGUCCGUGCCGCUGAGGUCUUUAUGCUCUGCUGGCUGCACGCUGCACACCUAAAACCGAAUCAGAAGGUCACAUGACCUGUCAAACCUGAAUGGAAACGCUGGUUGAAGUCACCUCUGACCCCAAAAUGUCAAACUUACAGGCUGCGGCGUAGCGGUCACACAGCACAGCUUCUUUUUCUGCAGCUUCCCCAGCAAAGGGUAGACGGUACCCGGAGCCACGUCCUCCUCUCUGGUGUGACCUUUCCAUCAACAUCAAAUAUAUUUCCAAUUUAUUGAAAUAUUGAUUUCAGUGGAAGAAAGUUGUGCUGCAUGCUUUGAAUGGGGGAAGCAGUGCCAUCUGGUGGACAAAGCUAAGAAUGAAACACUGAAAACCAGCCGUGCAAAUUCAAGGUUUGUGUCGGGGCUGCACGGGCAACUAGUGGUUAGCGCUCAGGCCUCACAGCUGGGAGACCCGAGUUCAAUUCCACCCUCGGGCAUCUCUGUGUGGAGUUUGCAUGUUCUCCCCGUGCAUGCGUGGGUUUUCUCCGGGUACUCCGGUUUCCUCCCACAUUCCAAAAACAUGCUAGGUUAAUUAGCCACUCCAAAUUGUCCAUAGGUAUGAAUGUGAGUGUGAAUGGUUGUUUGUCUAUAUGUGCCCUGGGAUUGGCUGGCCACCAGUCCAGGGUGUACCCCGCCUCUCGCCCCAAGACAGCUGGGAUAGGCUCCAGCACCCCUGUGACCCUCGUGAGGAUAAGCGGUAGAAAACAGAAUGAAUAAAAUGAAGAUAUGAAGAGGAAAAAAAGUAAUAUUCUGUUGACAAAAAAUCCCAUCAAAUUCUGAGAAUUUAAAAAGAUUAUUUAAGAAGAAAUUUGAAAAAUAUAAAGAGCUAAGUUGAUAUAAUGAUGGGCUUUUUCACCUGAGAUGCACUUUUGUUAUAUGCAUAUUUACAAAAUAUCCUUUCAUUUGCUGUGAAAUGUUGGGACCCCCCCUUAAGAGGCGAGGCUGUGUAACCGUACCUAAUGAAGUGUCCAGUGAGCGUACCUGUGAAGUAGCUGACGACCAGACCAGUCAGGAUGACCACCCAGCAGUUGAAGCCACUGUACCACAUGUAGGACAGCGAAUAAAACCCCCCCAGUCCAGACCACGCCCGACUAAAGACGCAACGGGAGUCGAGGUGGCGUUGGGGGCCCCGCAGUCGGGUGGAAGCGGCCGGGUGACCGUGCUCCCGAUGCCGAUCCAGAAGGCCACGGUCAGACCUGCCCCCAGCCCUGCGAUGGCACCCUGGAUUACGCAUCGGCCAUCACAUGGAUUACCACCAGAUGCGGUGGAGGAGGGGGUGCAGGGGUCAAGGACAAAAUCAUAACAUUCCGGUGAAGAUCUGAAUAAAGCUGCAGAAUCAAGGACGUAAUCGUUGCACAACUACCCAUCAUGCAUGAGCGAAAGUUUGGAUACCCCUCCGUCCGUUUGGCUCUUUAGUUUGAACUCACAGUGGGGUUGGCCCAAGGGAAGAACAUCCCCAGACAGAAGAGACCCAGAUUUGGGCCACCAACCAUUCCAAAGAUCUUCAACGCCACCUGCAGAAGCAAGAUGGCAACCGGUGUGAUGGAAAAGAGCUGACAGGAUGGUGACGCCAGCUUACCUGCAGAACCGAGUCGCCCAUCAGUUGUUGUAGUGCUGACCAACCUGAGAGCGGCACUGAAUAAACAAGCCACAAAGAGUCCAGGCAGUCCUGGAAGAUCUCGCAGCAUGUCCAUCACAAAGUGAAUCACUACCUGUGUAAAAAAACCCAGGUUUGCACAUUUGGAAGUGAGCUCCGGAAGAACUUUGGGAUGGCUCAAAACGCUCCUUUUGUCUAACUCCAUCUCCCUGCGAUGUCACAACUCAUCAAUCCGGCAAAUCAAAAGACCUUUCUUCUCCAAAAGGGUCUCCCGUGGAUUUGUCCAUGCUGCUUCAGCAGACGAUUCUGUUCUUAUUGGCCAAUUCCGUGAUUCCGAUAAAGCGGAAAGGCCAAUUGGACAGUAUAUCAUGAAUGCACAGUCAGCCCUUGAAGCUCACCGCGUCCCGUGAAGAGGCGCCCGGCCCGUCCAAGUGUUCCUCUCCACUGUAACGUGCAAACAUGACCAGGCCCAUCACGCAGCUCAGAGCCAGAGCCAGCUGCAAGGAGGGAAAGGCCAUGUAGCAAGACCUGCAGACAAGUAGCACGUCAACGUCACGUCGUCCACUUGGUUUGAAUCCGAGCCUCCAACCUGACGGCCUCGUCCUCUGUGCGAGCGCUGAGGUAUCUUUGGACCUGGGCCUGGUUCACGCCGUACAGGGACAGCAUCAGGAAGACCCCGCCGACGCCCAGAGUCCAGAAGACCCGAGAUGCGGUUUCCCUCCCAGGCUUUCCUCCACACAUGAGAAAGUCCUCCGGUUUGUUGUAUCCCCACGACGAUGACGGCCAGCUGCCCGGCGAACAUCACGGCGGUCUGGAAGACGUCGGUCCAAAUGACGGCCUUCAAACCACCCUGUCAAGGUAGCAGACACCUUUUUCACCAAUCAAUGGAAGAUCAUGAACCAUCUGGGACACAAGUACCUUUUCAUGAAACAGGACUUGAACUAUGGAAAUGAUUCCUGAAGCCAGAGACUCUCGUCAUAUACGGAGUGAUAUCAUGGUCCCGUAGCCUAAGCAUUAGCAAUGUGGUGUAAACAAAUAAUCAUCAAAGUGUCAAACUGGAUAUAGGGGUGUUAUUUAAUGGCUACAAGGCUCUAAUCAUGGCAAAACUUUAGAAAGUCCAACAGAUGGUGGCCAGCCAAUCCCAGGGCACAUAUAGACAAACAACCAUUCACACUCACAUUCAUACCUAUGGACAAUUUGGAGUGGCUAAUUAACCUAGCAUGUUUUUGGAAUGUGGGAGGAAACCGGAGUACCCGGAGAAAAGCCACGCAUGCUGUGAGGUCUGAGCGCUAACCACUAGACCGCCGUGCCGCCGGUAUCAUAUAUGAAUUAGUCAAAUCAGGCUGCAAAAAAGUGAACUAAGAAAAGCUGCAGUUUGUCAUAUGAAUAAGUGUUAGGAAGUCUUUUGUCGCGUCCUGUCGUUUCAGACAAAAUGGCCAUCUUGUAUUUCUUACCAUGGUCGUGUACAACGUGCACACCAGCCCCGUGACCACCACUACCACCCACAGGUCAAAUCCAGUCACUAAACAGGAGGAAGUGAUGCAUUAGAGUACAGUAUAGUAUAUGACACAGCGUGUAUGGCCAUGAUGUAGUAUUUUACAGUACCUGCAUUGAGUGCGAAGGCAGGAGUAUACAUGCAAACUCCCAUGUAGAUAACCUGAGCAGGGCGAGAACACGGUGUCCUAAAUGUCCUCAAUGUGGAAGCCAAUGUUUGUGUCUCACCUACCAUCUGAAAGAUGAAGGUCAGCGUUCCACAGAUGCGGACGGUUUUAUUGAAGCGCAGUUCAAGGUACUGUAAAUGGACGACACGUUACACUAAGCAUUGAUCACUCAAAGAUGGACGCACAUCCAGAAACCUCCCGCACUACACCUGGUAGGCGCUGGAGAUGCGGAGCCUGUACAAGACCGGUAUGAAAACCCGAGCCGGGAUGAGGAGGCCGAGGAUGUAAGCGCAGCCGAUGAACCAGUACUGCGUCCCGUGCGCGUAGAUCUCCGCCGGUACGCCGAUGAUGGCCACGGCAGACUGGAAGGAGGCGAUGAGUGACAGGGAAACGGGAAGACAGCGCAUGCUGCGGCCCGCCAUCAGGAACUCCUGCGUGGUGCGCUGGCGCCCGCCAGACAGCGCGUAGUACAACCCGAUGGCCAUGGAGGCGGCCAGGAGGACGGCAAAUAUCACGUAGUCCGCUACUGUAAAGUGAUUGGACGGGUCCAUCUGGAGCGCGGUGUCAGAAGGUUCUGGCCCCCUCCCAGGCACCAGACGGGUAGGGAAGAUUCUUGGAUGCCAGCAUCCGUCAGCAGCCACCUUGGGAGCAGAAGAUUUCCUUAUAUGGGCGUGGCUGGAAGCCAGAUAAACUCUCUGCCCUCCCCCACGCUUCCUUCUAAAAUGCUAAAGCUAGUUAGCAUUGAGAUACGUCUCGAAGUAACCUCUUUUUGAAAUUGAGCAUCAUACUGUAGGUCCCCCUUUAAGAAAAAAACUGCAUUCCAGAUUUGUGCUACAGGUGAAAUGCUAGCAAAUGUUUCCUCAUAUUACGAGUUUUGUCUAGUAAAAUUGCUAUCUUUUUAUCCAUCAUUCAAUUAUUACUUUUUUUCUCUAUUUGACUAUUUUCUAAAUUAUUAUUAUUAUAUUUUUUUUUUACAAUUUUCUAUUUAAUUUAAAUUUUAAAUCUUGUAAUUAUGGUUUUAUUCCCAUAAUAUUUUGACUUUAUUGUCAUUAUAUAAAGUUUUACCCCACUCUAAUUCUUGACAAAAUACAACUUUAUUCUUUUUGUUUCUCAUAUAUUAUAUCUUUUUAAAAAAUAAUAAUCUUUAUGCUACUAAUAUAACAUUUGUCAAAAUGAGAUUCUUGUAAAAUUGCAACUUUAUUCUCAUAACAUUUAUUUUCUCCAUUUCCGCUUUUGCUUUUAAAAAAUUACAACUUUAUUCCUUUUUUGUUACUUUUUCCUCAUUAAACACUGUUGAUUUUUCACAUUUUGUUAGUUCUUGUUAAAUUUUAUUUUUAGGGCCAAUACCGUCUGUCUUCUUUCAUGGGAAAAACACAUUAUUCAUAUGUCAACAAAUAUACCGUAUACAUAUACUUCUAUACUGUAAACUUCAUUUUGAAAGAUAGAACUUUUUGCCAUCAGUGAGAAAGUAGGAAGUUAUUUCCGAUAAUACAGCGGUGACUUUGAAGUGUUUUAAACCUGAUAUUCUCAAUUACUGUCGAAACGAGUUGACAAAAUUCACUAGAGGUGACGUAAUGGUGACAGGAAUGUGGUAAAAGGUGAACAAAACAGGUUAAGUUACAUA